rnacentral:rRNA from 1 species
AUCAACGCUGGCGGCGCUGCCUAACACAUGCAAGUCGAACGAGAAAGUGGAGCAAUCCAUGAGUACAGCUGGCGUACGGGUGAGUAACACGUGACUAAUCCUACCUCCGAGUGGGGAAUAACUCCUGGGAAACCGGGGCUAAUACCGCAUAACAUCGAAGAGUGAAAGCAGCAAUGCGCUUGGAGGAGGGAGGUCCGCGGCCGAUUAGCUAGUUGGCAGGGUAAAGGCCUACCAAGGCGAAGAUCGGUAUCCGGCCUGAGAGGGCAGCACGGCCACACUGGCACUGAAACACGGUCCAGACUCCUACGGGAGGCAGCAGUGGGGAAUCUUGCAGCAAUGGGGGAAACCCUGAUGCAGCAACGCCGCGUGGAGCGAUGAAGUCCCUUCGGGAUGUAAACUCCUUUCGACAGGGAAGAUACUGACGGUACCGGUGGCAGAAGCACUGCGGCUAACUACUGUGCCAGCAGCCGCGGUAAUACAGUAGGGCUGCGAGCGUUGUUCGGAAUUACUGGGCGUAAAGGGUGUGUAGGCGGUUGGUUAAGUUCACCUGUGAAAUCUCCUGGCUCAACUGGGAGCUUGCAGGCGAAUACUGAAGUGCUAGAGUGCUGGGAGAGGUGAGUGGAAUUCCCUGGUGUAGCGGUGAAAUGCAUAGAUAUCAGGGAGGAACACCUGUGGUGUAGAAGCGGCGCACUGGACCGUAAACUGACGCUGAGGACAGCGAAAGCGUAGGGGAGCAAACAGGAUUAGAUACCCUGGUAGUCCUACGCCCUAAACUAUGGCAUGAUUGGUGUGAUGGGUACCAAUUCCAUUCCGUGCCGGAAGCUAACGCGAUUAAGAUAUCCGCCUGGGGAGUACAGGUCGCAAGGCUGAAACUCGAAGGAAUUGACGGGGGCCCGCACAAGCGGUGGAGCAUGUGGUUCAAUUCGACGCAACGCGAAGAACCUUACCUAGGGCUCGAAGCGCAGUGGAAUCACGAGGUGGAAACAUCGUUACGCCCGCAAGGGGUCCAGUGCGAGGUGCUGCAUGGCUGUCGUCAGCUCGUGUCGUGAGAUGUUGGGUUAAGUCCCGCAACGAGCGCAACCCUUAUCCUGUCAGUUGCCAUCAGGUCAAGCUUGGGACUCUGGCAGGAAACCGCCUAGGGAUAACCUGGGAGGAAGGUGGGGAUGACGUCAAGUCCUCAUGGCCUUUAUGUCCUAGGGCUACACACGUGCUACAAUGGUACGGUACAAACCGUCAGCGAACCCGCGAGAGGGAGCCUAAUCGGCAAAAAGCCGUGCCUCAGUUCGGAUUGGCAGUCUGCAACUCGCCUGCAUGAAGCUGGAAUCGCUAGUAAUGGCAGAUCAGCACGCUGCCGGUGAAUACGUUCCCGGGCCUUGUACACACCGCCCGUCACAUCACGAAAGUGGACAUUACUAGAAGUCGGCAGGCUGACCCGCAAGGGAGGCAGCCGUCCCAAGGUAUAGUCAUGAUUGGGGUG